rnacentral:rRNA from 1 species
UACGUAGGGAGCAAGCGUUGUCCGGAAUCAUUGGGCGUAAAGAGCGCGUAGGCGGUCCGGUAAGUCGGUUGUGAAAACUGGGGGCUCAACCCUCAGAGGCCGACCGAUACUGCCGGGCUAGAGUCCGGAAGAGGCGAGUGGAAUUCCUGGUGUAGCGGUGAAAUGCGCAGAUAUCAGGAGGAACACCGUGGCGAAGGCGGCUCUCGUGGACGGUGAC